rnacentral:rRNA from 1 species
UACGUAGGUGGCAAGCGUUGUCCGGAUUUAUUGGGUUUAAAGGGUGCGUAGGCGGCUUUGUAAGUCAGUGGUGAAAUAUGGCAGCUCAACUGUCAAGGUGCCAUUGAUACUGCAGAGCUUGAGUACAGAUGAGGUAGGCGGAAUUGACGGUGUAGCGGUGAAAUGCUUAGAUAUCGUCAAGAACACCUAUAGCGAAGGCAGCUUACUAGGCUGUAACUGACGCUGAGGCACGAAAAGUGUGGGGAUCAAACAGG